GGAUGCGAUCAUACCAGCACUAAAGCAUCGGAUCCCAUCAGAACUCCGAAAUUAAGCGUGCUUGGGCGAGAGUAGUACUAGGAUGGGUGACCUCCUGGGAAGUCCUCGUGUUGCAUUCC
rnacentral:rRNA from 1 species